GGACGUUAGAACCCCGCGAGGCAGGGUGAGGGGCGCCACCGAGGAAGCGCCCACCGGGCUCCCGGGGCUGCCAGGCCCCAAAUUGAGGAAGUUGACUGCCAGAUCACACUCUGUUGGCCCACGCAGAUAGAUUCCAUUCAUCCUUUCUAAUGUCUACACCAUAUUUUGGAUAACAUGCCAUCAUCUCACAUUGUGUUGAAAGAAGAAACCAGAAUGUUGGGGUUGAUGUAUGCCAUAUGGAUGAAUUUAAACAGUUUCGGCCUUGCAAUAAUUGGUAUACUUCUAAUUGCAUGUGAAAUUAUACUCUUUUUAACGAAAGAUGAAACUAUUCAGUGGCCACAUGUACCCAGUAACAGAGGGAGCAAAGCAAAUCUUAUCCUCAAAGAACUGCAGCUGCUUGUUAGAUCUACCUGGUGGUUCCAUAGAGAAACUGCUCAGAGAACCUGCCUUUACCUCGCCUAAAACAGAACUAUCCCGGAGCUCAGCAAAGGAGUCCAUUCAUCCUCUAUAACUGCUAUACAAUAUCUCUGUUAAAAUGCUGAGAAGAUUUAUCCUAAAAGAAGGCACCAAAGCAAUGGGGCAAGAGGAAUUUUCCAGAAGACUGCCUUCAAGCUUCAUCUGCACCAUCAGCUCUUCCGUAUCUCCAGCCUGCUGGCCCACACUAUAAAUUUUGGACUUGCCAGCCAAAAUUUACAGAGUACAUGUACAGAUACAGAGUAAAUCAAAACGACUGAGGCAAGUCUAAAUCAUUUUAAGAUGUUUGUUUGCCAAGGUUAAGGACAUGCCUGAGAAAGAACCCAGAACCACAGGGAAAAUUGUGACCCAUACUUUUUCUGAAGAGGGUCUGGAGACCUCAGUAUUCAAAGGCAAAAGCGCAGGCUGUGCAAAUAAUGAUUGGCCUGAUUCACAGUGCACUGGGAACUCUCUGAAUUCAUUGGAUUUUGCUAAGAGAGGAUUCAAGUGGUUCUGGUCCUAUCCCUAUAAUUGCUGUAGUAAUUUACUCAUUUUUGUCAUUAUUUUUUUUCAUCAACUCAGGAUCCAGUAGUGUAAUACAGAAGCCUGUUACGAGAUAUAAGGCACUUUGCCCUCGGAAAUCUCACUGUCGGAAUCCUUGGAAAUCACACCACGCACAACUUCUAUUUCUUCAUAAUUUGCAAAGAACCAGUGUGACUCCAGUCAAGAACAAAAGAUUAAUUGUGAAUUAGCGAAGAACUCUAAUUUUUUCAAGCAGCCACAUGGAAAACGCAUUCUAAUGAAAUCCUUUCCAUUGCUCUUUUUUCUUAGUUCUUCAAUAAAGCAUGCGAUUUGAUCACAAAUUGACUCUUCCCUUUUUAAAAGCCAGUAUGGGUUAACACGGAUAAAUAUAGCCCCUGCAAUCCCUGUGGUUGAAGGGAUGUAGGAGAGUAGUGUUGAAUGCCCACUUUAUCUU
ensembl:lncRNA LINC00301 long intergenic non-protein coding RNA 301